ensembl:lncRNA
UUUUACUAAACAGGGAAAAAAAUACAGUUGAGGUGUGUCAGCUUUUACAUGAACUUUUAAGUUUCUGCUAAAAUGGAAAUUAUGUUGUCAGUGCAUAUGUCAGCAGGAUUCUGUAAAAAAAAAAAAAAAAAAAAAAAAACAGGUCAAGUUUCAUAAAACUUGCUGGAGAAGUGGAGCAUGGACAAAGGAAGAAGCCAUUCAAUUUUGGUGUAGAUUGUGAGCAUUUUUUUUGAAAGUCCUUCUCCAGUCAUUGAUUAAUCCCCUAAUUGCUGAUACACAUGCAACAUAGUUACACAUUUAGAAUUUUUUUUCAUACAAUAACUUAGAUAUAAGUAUACUUUUGAUGCUUUUUAGCAGGCGUAGAUUUGUGAAUUUGCUAAUUGAUCCCCACCUUUAUCCACCAGACCACUGCUGCGCACCUUCAACUCUGAUCAAACACAGUAAAAUUUUUCGUCGCUUCACAAUCACAAGCUAUGAUUGUAGAGAUGUGUCAUCAAACAUAGGAAAAACACCAUAUGGAAACAUUAACAAUGUGAAAAAACUAAUUUUCAUCAGAGGGGGUCAUUGACAUUGCAAGAUACGGCAUUGGUCGUGGCAGAGUGGACUUCUGAAUAGUAUUUGAAAUUAAUUAACUGAUAAACGUAAUGUGAGUGGUAAAAUGAAUAUAUGUACCACAUAGGGUGUGUUUUGUAGUUAAACAGUCCUGUCUCUGAAACCAAAAUGGUCAAAAGGGUGUUUUGUUGUUUUUUUUUUUUUUUGCUUCUUCUCUUCUCAGCUCCUUCUGUUCAUUUAUCAUCUCUAUUAGCCAAUUUGUUUUUGCUAAAUCUGUCUGGCCAUUUCUCAAAGUCUUGCUUUUUUCUCCUUUUUUUGUUUUUCUAGUUUGUAAUUUUCCCUUCUCUCUUCCAGGUAAAUUGUGUUUCUUACACUCCUCUGUGGCCCGUUAAUGCCUGCAGCUCUCAUUGACUCUUUCUCUCACCCCUUCUGAUAUAUGCAGGUUGUAGAUCUUCUCGUCUCACCUCCCACUUUGUCUCAGGGAAGCUGACAGACCACAGAUGGCUGCUUUUGAUCUCCCAUAACGAGCAUCUCCAUGUCAAAUUACAAUGGAACAGACAGCAGAA